rnacentral:rRNA from 1 species
AUUGAACGCUGGCGGCAGGCCUAACACAUGCAAGUCGAGCGAGCGGCGGACGGUUGAGUAAUGUCUGGGAAACUGCCUGUUGGAGGGGGAUAACUACUGGAAACGGUAGCUAAUACCGCAUACCAUCAGAUUUGCCCAGAUGGGAUUAGCUAGUAGGUGGGGUAACGGCUCACCUAGGCGACGAUCCCUAGCUGGUCUGAGAGGAGGACCAGCCACACUGGAACGGAGACACGGUCCAGACUCCUACGGGAGGCAGAAGUGGGGAAUAUUGCACAAUGGGCGCAAGCCUGAUGCAGCCAUGCCGCGUGUGUGAAGAAGGCCUUCGGGUUGUAAAGCACUUUCAGCGGGGAGGCGUUACCAACAGAAUAAGCACCGGCUAACUUCGUGCCAGCCGCCGCGGUAAUAC